AUUCACAAUCACCUGAGUUCUGAUCAGCAGCACCUGCAUUCACUCAUCACCGCACUACCUUUAAAACGCUUACAUGUUUGGUCCUCUUUUUGAACUCUUUAGUCGUUUUAUGUCAUACAGUCAGCAGGCAUCUCCACCUACAACAGAUAACAAUUUCCUGCAUCAUGUCUGAACGGACUGGACUGUCUCAAGACGUUGCAGCCCACAUUGCAGAAUUCCUCAUAUCUUUAGGGCAGAGAAUUGAAGGCCCUGUUUCAGACGAUGAUGUGGAUAGUAUACUCUACCAAAUAGAGAAUGUGGUCAGUCUACUUGGGAAAUGUGCUGACCGUUCAUCAUUUGGAAACUUAGACAAUGUUUUGGAGAAGUUACAGGAGCUACUUGCAUCAACAAGGGAUACAACAAGUCAUGGUUACGAAGCUCUAGUUCUUAAACAAACUGGUGAGAAGGGACGGCCUGCCUGUAACAUCACCAUGGAUCAGCUUGAAUACCUCCUUGAGCUAGACUUUACUGUUCCUGAGAUAUCCCGUCUGUUGCAUAGUUACACGAUCUACAGUUCGGGAAACUCUGAAGGCUGUGGAUCCAGUGGGCACCCUACUGCGUGGAUUGCACCUUAAUUUCGUUCAUAGAAGGGUAUAUUCAGUUCCUUCACCUUUGUCUCUUUGGCACAUUGGUGGAAACCACAGACUGAUCAAGUAGGUAGACAUUUUUACUAAAAAAAAAACAGUGUUUACAGUGACUUUGAAUUUGGUGCCCGACAUGUAAUUUUUAUAAUUGUACAUAGAAAGUGUGCUCAACAGUUAAAACUGUGCUUCCAAUAAGGUGGCGCAUCGUCAUACACGGGGGUAUAGAUGGAUUCAGCCGUAAAAUAAUGUAUUUGAAGGCUUCCACCAACAACCAGGCCGCAACAGUUUUGGAGGCAUUUUUGGAAGCUGUUGAGCAGUUUGGUUUGCCAAGCAGAGUGAGGAGUGAUAAGGGUGGUGAGAAUGUUGAUGUGGCAAGAUAUGUUGGAGCAUCCUCUUCGUGGACCAGGUAACAUGCAUUUUGCCUCUCAAUUUAUACAAUGGGGGUAAUGGAAGGGGAAAAGCUGGCCCCAAAAAAAGGCUGAGGACCACUGAGAAGUUUACAAUGACGUUGGAAGAUGUUUGUAGCCAAAUGUUCAUCUGGUAGUGUGCAUAUUUAUACACGCUAUUAGACCAUUUCUUGUUGUAAUAUGGACUGUUUGUUUUCUUUAUUCCUUCUGUUUACAACUUAGGGAAGACCAGCUAUAUUACUGGAAGAAGUGUCCACAACCAAAGAAUUGAGCGUCUGUGGCGGGAUGUCUGGUGUGCGGUCACAUCAAAUUAUUGUGCAGCUUUCCAGUAUCUGCAGGAUAUUGGAGCACUGGACCCAGACAAUGAAAAACGCCUAAUCUGUCUACACUGUCAUGGUGCCGAGACUGAAUAUGGACCUUGACCUGUUCAGACAGGUGUGGGACCGACAUCCCCUCUCAUCAGAAGGCAACAAAUCUCCGCAACAGUUGUGGGUUUCAGGUCAACUGUUGAAUACAGAUGCUCCAGCUGAUCCAAUGGAUUUCACUAACUUUGGAGUGGACUGGGAUGGUCCUAUUCCUGCAAUGGAUUGUGGUGGUGUUGCAGUUCCUGAGGCCCCCGCAUCCCGUCAGGAGGUUGUACUGGAAGAAGUCACCCACCACAUCCAUCCCCUAAUGUCAAGUCAAUGUUUUGGCUUAGAUCUAUACUUCGAGGCACUAAGAUUGAGUAAAAUGGUCACUAUUUAGGGGCCCAAGCUGUGUAGGUGAGCAUUAUGCAAAUGCAAUAAGUUGUGAUGUGUGAACCUCACGAAAAUAGAUUUGAAGUCCAAAGACUUUUUUGAGCGGUUCAGAGUCGACUUUGAAUAGACUAUUUAUGAAGCACUUUUAGCUUUACAACUUUGCAUACUGUGUUCAUUCACAUACAGCUACAUUACACACUGCAUGAAUGGUAUUUUUCAAAAAUCCAUAAUAGGGGCACUUUAAUUGAUAAUUACAAGUUAAAUAGAAAAAUAUUUUGUUUCUCAAUACGAAUUAAUGUAAGGACUGCUGCUGGCAGCUGCUUUAACUCAAAAUGGAGACAAGUUCUCUUUAUUUUGGGCUAUUUGCUCUGUGUAAACCAUCCCCCAAAGUUUAACUUGCAGACACGAGUUAAAUGAAUGUUUAAACUCAAGUACUCAUUAUGUAUUUAAGUUAAUUUCCAUAAAUAUAACUUCAUGGGGCAUUCAUGUUGAAUGGUUUUAUCAAAUAAUUGUUUUAAAAUAAUAGACAAAAACACAAACCAUACAGUUAACAAAUGUGAUAUUUACAAAAACAAUGGUGUAUGUAACUUUUCAAUGUGUUUUACCUAUUUUGAUACCAAUGUGAAUCAAAUGGAAGUGUCACUUUUCAGAUUAUUCUAUUUUAAGGAUAAUUUAUAAAAUCCACAAAAGCUUUACAGAUGUCUAUUUUAAAGUGGCUUUUUAAUGCUUGUUUUGCAUAUAAAAUUUCUUGAAUAUCUAAAUGCCACCUCUGAUGCAGAUUGUUUUCUCUGCAGUGGGAAAAAUAUUUUUGUUGAUAGUCAAUUUGGUUGGUAAAAGCCAUAUAGUGACUUAAUGUAUAUCAUUUGACAUGAAAGAUGACAGUUGGGGUGAAAUUGCCUUUUAUAAAGGUAAAAAAAAAAUGCAAUGGCAAUCAUUUUAGGUUGAUUCUGAUCUUAAUUACCAUCUUUCUCUUU